GGCCCUACGGGGGGCAGCAGUGGGGAAUAUUGCACAAUGGGGGAAACCCUGAUGCAGCGACGCCGCGUGAGUGAAGAAGUAUUUCGGUACGUAAAGCUCUAUCAGCAGGGAAGAAUAAUGACGGUACCUGACUAAGAAGCCCCGGCUAACUACGAGCCAGCAGCCGCGGUAAUACGUAGGGGGCAAGCGUUAUCCGGAUUUACUGGGCGUAAAGGGAGCGCAGAAGGCUGGGCAAGUCUGAAGUGAAAUGGCGGGGCCCA
rnacentral:rRNA from 1 species